rnacentral:rRNA from 1 species
GCCCCGGCUAACUACGUGCCAGCAGCCGCGGUAAUACGUAGGGGCGAGCGUUGUCCGGAAUUAUUGGGCGUAAAGGGUACGUAGGCGGCUUUUUAAGUUUGACGUGAAAGCCCGGGGCUUAACUCCGGCAAGCGUUGAAAACUGGAAGGCUUGAGUGAUGGAAGGGACAGUGGAAUUCCUGGUGUAGUGGUGAAAUGCGCAGAGAUCAGGAAGAAUACCAGUGGCGAAGGCGACUGUCUGGACAUUAACUGACGCUGAGGUACGAAAGCGUGGGUAGCAAACAGGAUUAGAUACCCUGGUAGUCCACGCUGUAAACGAUGAGUGUUAGGUGUCUGGGAUAGACUGGGUGCCAUAGCUAACGCAAUAAACACUCCGCCUGGGGAGUACGCACGCA